rnacentral:lncRNA from 1 species
CUCACUUUCACUCCCUCUCCAUCUCACUGGAUCUUUUGCCUCUCUUGUCAGUCAUACACCGUUCUGUUCAGUUCUGUUCUUGUGUGUUCAGCUCCACCCUUCACCGUACUGUUGCAGACGACAGUUGCUACAGUAGAGGAAUGAUGCUUAUCGUUGCCAAUUUCCACUGGCCCUUCAGUAUUGAUUUGAGAAAUCAGGCAAAAGAUUUCAGAUUCAUAACUCUAACUCAAUGGAAAACAAAGCUAAGGUGGUCAUAAAUUUAAGGGAAGAACAAGAAAAGAGGUGAAAUAAAAGUUGACAAUAAAUUUCCGUGAAGAAAUGAAACACGAAAAAUAUUCCUAAUACUUAAAAAAAAAAGACAGAAAAAACAUAUACUGUGUAUUCGGUGAGUGAAAUGUUUACUUAACAAACUUAAUGUUUUAGGAAAAUAUUCAUAUCAUUGAGGAAUGUUUGUUUAUUGUAUGUUUUCUCAAGCAAUAACUAUAAGAGAGAUAAAAUUUGAGAACAAAAGAAAACAAUGAACAAACUUAAAGGAUCAACUUCGUAACUACAUAUUCUAACAAGGCGGACAUAUAUAUAUAUAUUCAUUGAAUUUCGAAAGUAGUCACCUAAAAGUAUAAAAGGUACGCUAAAAGUACACAAAAUAAUAUACUCACUCCGAGAAACAAUAAAGAGAAGGAAAUAAAACUAACGAAAAAUGUCAACUUGAAUAACACAGGGAAAUGUUAUUUUACUGAAUUUACUACACAUAUACGCAUACAUAUAUUUUGCAUUAUUAUAUAUGUAUACAUUACUCGUAUAGGAUCAUAAGUUAAGUUCACGAGUUCACAUUUCGUUCAGACUUAGUUAAACGGAAAACAGUAAUAAAGAGAAAAUUUUAAAAUCCUUGAAGAACCUGUGGAAGUAAAAGGGAGAAAAAAGGCCGAAUUCCUCCUGGAAUAGCAUGGCCACAGUUGGAGAUGUACACUGAUUUGGGUCCUUGUGAUCAAGAUUCCGACGAAUGUAUUUCUCUGAAUGAGUUUCACGUUUGUAACCAGGAAUGCCCACUUCUUUCCAAAGG